AAUGGCUGCAGUAAUUUGACUGUACAAAGGUAGCAUAAUCAUUAGUUUUUUAAUUAAAAGCUUGUAUGAAAGGUUGGACGAAAUAAAAUCUGUCUCUUUUUAAUAAAAUUAGAAUUUAAUUUUUAAGUUAAAAAGCUUAAAUUUUUAUAAAAGACGAGAAGACCCUAUAGAGUUUUAUAAUUUUAAUUUUAUAAUUAAUUUAGAUUUAUUUAUUUUAUUUUAUUAAAAUUAUUUUAUUGGGGUAAUAGAAAGAUUAAAUAAAUUCUUUUUAAAAUUAAUCAUUAAUAUAUGAAAAUUAUGAUCCAAAAAUUUUGAUUAUAAGAUUAAAUUACCUUAGGGAUAACAGCGUAAUUUUUUUUUAGAGUUCUUAUCGAUAAAAAAGUUUGCGACCUCGAUGUUGGAUUAAAGAUUAAUUUAGGUGUAGAAGUUUAAAUUUUUGGUCUGUUCGACCAUUGAAUCUUUACAUGAUCUGAGUUCAAACCGGUGUAAGCCAGGUUGGUUUCUAUCUUUAUAAAAUUUUUAUAUUUUAGUACGAAAGGACCAAAUAUAAUGUAUAUAUUAAUACUUAUUUGAUGAAUAU
rnacentral:rRNA from 1 species